UGGGGAAUAUUGCGCAAUGGGCGAAAGCCUGACGCAGCGACGCCGCGUGAGGGAUGAAGGCCUUCGGGUCGUAAACCUCUUUCAGCAGGGAAGAAGCGCAAGUGACGGUACUAUUUGUAAGGUCCGGCUAACUACGUGCCAGCAGCCGCGGUAAUACGUAGGGACCAAGCGUUGUUCGGAUUUACUGGGCGUAAAGGGCGCGUAGGCGGCAAUUCAAGUCAGCUGUGAAAUCUCCGGGCUUAACUCGGAACGGUCAGCUGAUACUGCUUUGCUAGAGUGCAGAAGGGGCAAUCGGAAUUCUUGGUGUAGCGGUGAAAUGCGUAGAUAUCAAGAGGAACACCUGAGGUGAAGACGGGUUGCUGGGCUGACACUGACGCUGAGGCGCGAAAGCUAGGGUAGCAAACGGGAUUAGAUACCCCGGUAGUCCUAGCCCUAAACGAUGAAUACUUGGUGUCUGGAGUUUUUAUCCUCCGGGUGCCGUCGCUAACGUUUUAAGUAUUCCGCCUGGGGAGUACGCACGCAAGUGUGA
rnacentral:rRNA from 1 species